UCUGAACACUGACUUGGGUUUUCGUUCGUCAGUCUACAAGUGUCGAACGAAGAGCUGUGUAGUGGAUGUUUGGAGUGGCGUUGCGGAAAAUUUUAUAUUGCAGUUUGGUAUUAGUUUGUUACAAACAAAGAUCGUGCCAGUGUACAUUUGAAUUAAUGCACAGCUCAUUUUUAAAGCUCCACGCAAAGUUAGUGCAUCGGACACGUCCUUAAGUAGCAACAAAUAACCAAUAUCAUUGUGAAGGGUCGAAAAAUAGUUUAUCGAGUGUACAGUUUCUUCUGUAAGUAUGCGCGUGAAGAUGAAUGGACAGACUAAAAUUCUCGAAGUGCCAAGAUCUGACAGCUGAAGCUUGUGGCGAUAAAAAUCGAGUGUUUUACACAUUUGUAGAGAAGAUGGUGAUACACCAUUAACUGUUCUCUGGGAUUACAACAAAACAGCAAGGUAGCGCCAUGACGUCAACAGACGAUGCUUUGGCGAUAGUUGGCUGGUUAAUAGCUCAAAAAGGUGUCGUAAACGUGUUACGUGGUGUAAAGAUUGGUUGAGAAGAAGAGAACAGUAUUCGCAUGUAAACUUACUACAGGAAUUGAAAUUUGCGCCGAAAGAUUGGCAUAAUUAUUUAAGGAUGGACGAAGAAAAGUACUUAAGGCUCCUGUCGUUGGUGACUCCAUUAAUCAAGAAGAAGGAUACUGUAGUGAGAAAAGCUAUAUCACCACAUGAGAGGUUAACUGCUUGUCAAAGAUUUCUUGCAACCGGAAGAAGCUACGAAGACCUGGAAUUUUCUACAAUAAUAUCACCUCAGGCUCUCAGCUAUAUUAUUCCAGAAACGUGUGAUGCUAUAAAUAAAGUUCUACAUAAAGAAUACUUAAAGUUUCCACGAACAGAAGACGAUUGGAGGGACAUAGCCAAAAUCUUCGAAGAAAGGUGGAACUUUCCACAUUGUCUCAGUGUCAUCGACGGGAAACAUUAUUCCCCCAAGUGGAAAUGGGUCAUAUUAUUAUAAUUACAAAGGACGACACAGCAUGGUUUUACUUGCAAUAGUGGAUGCAAAAUAUCAGUUCAUCAUGUGCGAUUUCCGUGUACACGGAAGAGUUUCCGACGGAGGUGUUCUUCAAAAUACGACAUUUUUCGAGAGACUUGAAAAAUAAACAUUCCACCUGAAGAGAGAAUCAGAAACACUUCUACAAUUCUGCCCUGCGUAUUUGUCGCCGAUGACGUGUUUUCUUUGAGAAUAAAUAUGGUGAAACCGUAUCGACAGGCAAACCUGGAUUCUAAAGAUAAAAAGGUAGAUAAUUAUCGCGUUUCCCGUGCGAGACGUUUUGCUGAAAACGCGUUUGGUAUCGUGUCAUCCAGGUUCAGAAUAUUUCACACACAAAUUAACUUAGACCCAAUACACAUUGAUUCGGUAGUAAUGACGAAUUGUGUAAUGAACAAUUUUUUUUAAUGGCAUUGACGCCAAGAUCAUACGCGACUCCAGACUGUUUUGACAGUGAAAAUGCAGAUGAUGGGAUUACUAUAUCAUACUUGAAUACUGAAGAUUCGAAUAUUGAACGAUUGGACCCAAGAAACCCAGGAAAUACCACAACUACUGCCAAGAGAAUUAGAGAACGUUUUACUAAUUAUUUUAUGAAUGAAGGAAAAGUUUCAUGGCAAGAUAAAUUUAUACAUUAAUUUCUUGUAACUGUUGUCUAAAUAAAAUCUGUUGUAAUACAAUAUAUGAAUAAAUAUAAAAUUGCAUACUUUA